rnacentral:rRNA from 1 species
GACGAACGCUGGCGGCGUGCUUAACACAUGCAAGUCGAACGGAAAGGCCCUGCUUGCAGGGUACUCGAGUGGCGAACGGGUGAGUAACACGUGGGUGAUCUGCCCUGCACUUCGGGAUAAGCCUGGGAAACUGGGUCUAAUACCGGAUAUGACCUUCCAUGUAGUGUGGGGGGUGGAAAGAUUUAUCGGUGUGGGAUGAGCCCGCGGCCUAUCAGCUUGUUGGUGGGGUAAUGGCCUACCAAGGCGUCGACGGGUAGCCGGCCUGAGAGGGUGGACGGCCACAUUGGGACUGAGAUACGGCCCAGACGCCUACGGGAGGCAGCAGUGGGGAAUACUGCACAAUGGGCGGAAGCCUUAUGCAGCGACGCCGCGUGGGGGAUGACGGCCUUCGGGUGGUAACCUCUUUCGACAGGGACGAAGCUUCGGUGACGGUACCUGUAGAAGAAGCACCGGCUAACUACGUG